ensembl:lncRNA
ACCAUGGCAACCAGACCUGAGGCUGUUCUUAUAAACUCACCUGCUUCUCUGAAACUGAACCAGUGUGACGACAACCCUGGAGGAACGUGCUUCAGUUUGGAGGCUGGACGUGAUGCGACUGUUUUUCCAUUUAGUGCAUCUUCUUCUGCUGGAAACUGAAAGUACUUGAGGGCUGGAAAUUUACAUCCUUUGACAGCCGCCUCGUUUCAUUCCCACGUGAGAUCGGAGGCGAAAAGGUGAGACGUUCACAGAGUCGUAGAAGCAAACAUCAGAGAGAGAUAAGAAUCACUCAGCUGUGACAUUAAACACUUGACCUGGAAUCAUCGGAGCACUGAAAGGAAACAUGUAGCGAUGAUGUCAUCUGACAAACCGGUUUCCUGACAAGAAAUCAAACACGACAGCUCAAAGACUGAAGACGUCUGAGGGAGUCGCUGACAGAACGCUGCCGUGAGUUCAACAGGUGGAUCAGAACUCACCUGGACUCUGACAGCCAAUCAGAGAGUUCAACAGGUGGAUCAGAACUCACCUGGACUCUGACAGCCAAUCAGAGAGUUCAACAGGUGGAUCAGAGCUCACCUGGACUCUAACAGUCAAUCAGAGAGUUCAACAGGUGGAUCAAAGCUCACCUGGACUCUGACAGCCAAUCAGAGAGUUCAACAGGUGGAUCAGAACUCACCUGGACUCUAACAGCCAAUCAGAGAGUUCAACAGGUGGAUCAGAGCUCACCUGGACUCUAACAGCCAAUCAGAGACUCCGGCAUAAACAGCAGAGCAACGCUUCAAUCGUUUCCGGUGUCUGUGAUGAACUGUUGUUUCUCUGACAGUGAGGAGAUGAUGUGCAGGAUUCUGCUGCUGCUCAGCUUCAGCUCCAGUGUCUCUGGAGUCCUGUCCUUUAACAAGGCUUUACACUAUGAGGCUGAGGAGAACAGCAACGUCACCGUGGAGUGGAGCUUCGCCUUGACAACCGGCCUCAGCAUCUCCUCCCUGAAGAUCCACUGUUUGCUGCUCCCUGACCUGCAGGUGUUUUAUCACCUGGACCACAGCGUGGAGGAGCCUCAGCACCAGCGGUUUGCUGGACGGGUCCAAUGCGACACAGAGGCUCUGACUGCAGGACGAGUCCGGCUGCUUCUGUCCAGGACCAGGACAGACGACUCGGGCCGCUACCUGUGCAGGAUGGUCACCGGGUUUGGCAAGGAGGUCAGAGAGUUCUGGCUCAACGUCACCGCUGCAACAGUCAGAACCACACCUGAACCUCCCAGUGCGGUCAGAACCUUGCUGCUGGUUGCCAUGGCAGCAGGGGUGGUGGUUCUGUUGACCUCCUGCUGCCUGGUGCUCCACUGACGUCCGAUCUGAGUCUAACGAGGAUCUGGCGCCCUCUUGCUGCUCCAGAAGGAACCUGCAGGUGAGUCACACCUGGCUCUGCUGCAGAAGCUUCACCGCAGAGUUGUGGUUCUGGACCGACCCGGUUCCGUGGAGGCGGGACCGCAGCGUUCUUGUUUACCUGCCUGGAGGAGCUCUUGAAGCUCAGGUGAUCACAGAUGUUCUCGCUGAUGUUUAAAAGUGAAACCGGUUUACGGGGACUUUGGUGUAAAUGUGAAUGUUUUCAGACAGAAUUCACUAAAUCUGUUCCUCAACUUUCUGUGAUCCUCUUCGGUUUACGUUUUCCAUAUCUGGGUUUUCACGUGUUGGUUAAAUAAACGUUGCAGUAACCGUUCUGUAAUCUUCAUGUCAGUGGAUCAUGGAUUGUAAAUACAUAAAGUAAUGAUACAAGUCUUCACCUGAAUAAUCAACACUGACUUUAUGUUUUGGAAUAUUUAUACUUUGUCUGUCGAUAAAUGUACUUUUUUUCUUUUAAAUAUUAAAAAAAAUGCUUUUAUUGCAAGUAGUGCUUUUAUUUUCAGGCUACAUUUCUCUUUUAAUGCUGCAGUAAGGGGACCAAGCAAACAUACACGAGGAUUUGUUUUGAUAGUUGCCUUUUUUUUGUUGCAUGAAUAAAAACCAGAUUUGGUGUUUAGAGUGUGUCACCUGGAGUGGAUGUAAAACUGGUCUGGUGUCAGUUUUAACCAGAACUCUGAUGUGUUUGUCUUCCUAAAAUGCCAUGUGUCUGACUCCUCGUCACACUUUGAAUCAGAAAACAAAGAUUAUGACUUCUUGAUGAACAACAUCCUCAUCUUCGGGACAUUUUAUAUACACAAAUGCAAAUCCAUGAUGGUAAAUCCUAGAUUUUAUGUGUUUCAUGAGGAGUUUCUGUCCUUCACUAAAGCCCUUAAAAAUGAAGUCUAAACAUGCAAUGAAACUGUUCAAUGUGAUUGAGAAUUACGAUCUGCAAAAAAACGCCUUAGCUCUAUGUUUUGUUCUGUUUUAUUUAUAUUUAUUUAUUUUUUUUCCUUUUUUGCUUUGAUUCUAUUUCAUUCUCUGACUGCGCUUCAUAUAAUUUUCAAGAACUGCCUCUUUUAAUAGAUUUAUAUAAUAUUUUACUGCACUGGAAGCACCUGUUCGUUAUAAAAAAUGCCUUUGUAGAGACUGUAUUCUACAGUGUUUUGUUAAAUGAUUUUGUCAAUAAAGG